UACAGAGGUCUCAAGCGUUGUUCGGAAUCACUGGGCGUAAAGGGUGCGUAGGCCGCACGGUAAGUCAGAGGUGAAAUCCCGGAGCUCAACUCCGGAAUUGCCUCCGAUACUGCCGUGCUCGAGGACUGGAGAGGAGUCUGGAAUUCACAGUGGAGCAGUGAAAUGCGUAGAGAUGCGGAGGAACACCGAUGGCGAAGGCAGCCCCCUGGGCUGACACUGACGCUCAGGCACGAAAGCGUGGGGAGCAAACAGG
rnacentral:rRNA from 1 species